UAGGGAAUCUUCCACAAUGGACGCAAGUCUGAUGGAGCAACGCCGCGUGAGUGAAGAAGGUUUUCGGAUCGUAAAGCUCUGUUGUUGGUGAAGAAGGAUAGAGGCAGUAACUGGUCUUUAUUUGACGGUAAUCAACCAGAAAGUCACGGCUAACUACGUGCCAGCAGCCGCGGUAAUACGUAGGUGGCAAGCGUUGUCCGGAUUUAUUGGGCGUAAAGCGAGCGCAGGCGGAAUGAUAAGUCUGAUGUGAAAGCCAACGGCUCAACCGUGGAACUGCAUCGGAAACUGUCAUUCUUGAGUGAAGAAGAGGAGAGUGGAAUUCCAUGUGUAGCGGUGGAAUGCGUAGAUAUAUGGAAGAACACCAGUGGCGAAGGCGGCUCUCUGGUCUGCAACUGACGCUGAGGCUCGAAAGCAUGGGUAGCGAACAGG
rnacentral:rRNA from 1 species